UACCUUGGGAAACAUGCAAGUCGAACGGGAAGUGGUGUUUCCAGUGGCGAACGGGUGAGUAACGCGUAAGAACCUACCCUUGGGAGCGGAAAAACAACUGGAAACAGUUGCUAAUAUCCCGUAGGCUGAGGAGCAAAAGGAGAAAUCCGCCCAAGGAGGGGCUCGCGUCUGAUUAGCUAGUUGGUGAGGCAAUAGCUUACCAAGGCGAUGAUUAGUAGCUGGUCCGAGAGGAUGAUCAGCCACACUGGGACUGAUACACAGCCCAGACUCCUACGGGAGACAGCAGUGGGGAAUUUUCCGCAAUGGGCGAAAGCCUGACAGAGUAA
rnacentral:ncRNA from 1 species